GAAAGUAAACACAGUACCAGGAAGCAGCAAUCUGGGGAGGCAAAGGAGGGCCAGGGGACAGAAGAGGGCAUUGCAAAAUGAUGUCCCCUGUUUCGAGAGACGAUAGGAAUCUCCCUCACAGGCGAAGGUGCCACUCAGAAUCAGUUCUUUCUUACAAGUCCUUACAAAACAAUCCAGAGAAGUUGGAGAGCAUAAAGGAGGAGUCAUCCCUGCUUACAUCGUCCACAGGAAAGAAAUCGAGGAAGGCACCCAGGAGGAGAGCAGGUUUGAUCAUAGGAUGCUUCAUAUUAAUAUCAUGGUCUCUUGCAAUGACUAUUGCAGUAAUAAUCCUAGCUUCUAGGAAUCCUAAGUGUAAAGAUCCAUGUCCUGAUAACUGGCUGCUCUACAAAGGAAAAUGUUACUACAUUUCUGAUGAAGUGAAGUAUUGGGAGACUAGUGAGGAAUUCUGUUCUCAACAAGAUGCUUUACUUGCUGUAAUUGAAAACAAAGAGGAAUUGAAUUUUAUAGAAAAGCUUGCUUGCAGGAAGGAUGCAUGGAUUGGACUCCACAAGACAAAGGGAAAACUCUUUUGGGUAAAUGGUACAGCAUUAAAUACAAGUCUGUUGGAAGUAAAGGGUUCUGGUGAAUGUGCUUAUGUUGAAACAAAUAUUAUCUCUACCUCUGGAUGUACAUUACCUAGGAACUGGAUGUGUAAAAAGAAACCUGAGUGACUGGGAGCCCAGUGCAGGAGUACAAGACAGAGUGUGACUCCAGGAAUUUUCCCCUUCCCAGGGAAUGAAAAAAGGCUAAGAGGAGUGAAAGUUUGUCUUGAUUUUUAUUUUACUGGGUUUUUCGUUAUAGGUUUGUGACACUAGGAACCCCUCAAUGCCAAUUUGCAAAGGGUUCAUUGUUCUAUAACAGUAACUUCUGACAGGCCUGACAAACUCUCUGCACCUAAAAUAUUGCUUUCAUAGUAUUUAUCCAAAAAGGGUCAAGUG